CAAAGUCUGGGUUGUGAUAAGUGGUUGUGCAGUCCAAGGUUUUAUCAUGCAGUCGAAGCCUCCAGGUAGCAAGUUUCAAAGAGAAUACAUUGCAAAUGUUUCUUAUCAGACUUAGGGUUUGUGUUGAUGUUAAAUGCUGGUCAGCUUUUCCUGAAUUCCAAAAGGGAGGACGGCAUAAUGAGGCAUGUCCAAUCCGCCAUUCCCGUCAUGGCCUGAACCAGUCUUUCAGGUUAUCUUAGGAGUGCCCUGGCCAAGAGGAGGGAGUCCAUUCAAAUGGUUGCGGGGGUCAUAGAAUUUUAUUUUUGGUUUACAGAAAUAAUCUGUAAAAAUGUAUUAAAAAUAACAAAGCAAACAGUUUGCAUUUGUUUUUAAAAGAUAGUCAUGCCUUGUGGCAUGUAAUACUUGUAAUCCCAACACUUAGGGAGGCCAAGGUGGGAGGAACACUUGAGGACAGGAGUUCAAGACCAGCCUGGGCAACAUACUGAGAUCUCAUCUCCAAAAAUAACAGAAAUAAAAAAAAAAAUUAGCCAGGCAUAGCAGCAUGCACCUGUAAUCCCACCUCCUCAGGAGGCUGAGGUGGGAAGAUCUCUUAAGCCUAGGAGUUUAAGGUUACGGUGAGCUAUGAUGGCACCACUGCACUCCAGCCUGGAUGACAGACAAGAAAGAAAGAACAAAAGAAAGAAAGGAUGAACAAAAGAAAGAAGUGGGGAAGGAAGGAAGGAAAGAAAGGAAGGGAAGGAAAUAGUUCAUUUGACAAAGACUCCCUUAUUGAGCAAAUGUAGUCAGGCUCCUCUGAGCCCUCCUUUGACUAGACUUUCUCUUUGGCCCAAUCUUUGGCUUGCCAAGUCUAGUUUUAGCUUUGGAUACUGCUUAGCCAGUUUAUAGAGAAUCCCACCACCUUUGAUAUCUAAUCAAGCUCUCCUCCCUACCCUUGAUGUCUAAUCAAGUUCUUCUCCCCCAAUGUUGUUGAUACCUAACCAAGUCCCUCUUUAGUAUGUUUCUAUCCAAUGACUCCCUCAUCAUGCCCCUUGAAUAUAUAUUCCCACUUAUCCCUGUUGUAUUUAUUUAUUGAUUGAUUUUUGAGGUAGGGUCUCACUCUUGUCACUUAGGUUGUUAUCCCUGUUGUAUUUAGAAUUGAGUUCAAUCUCUCUCCUCUAUUGCAAUAGUCUUGAGUAAAGUCUUCCUUGCCAUUUUUAACAAGUGUCUAGUGCAAAAUUUCUCUUCAAUGUGUUGAUUCUAUGCACCUCUUUUUCAUUUUUAAAUUAUCAUUAAUUCUCCCCCGAUCCCCCACAGUAUAAAUCUUCUCUUCUCACUAUGUUCUGACACAUUAAUUAUUUAAGCAAGGUUAUUAUUAUUUUAAAAAUCAUAGACAUCUAUCUAUUCCUUGAUCUCUGUUCUUAGAGCGGCUUCACAGUUGUAAUCCUGAUAUCUCUUUCACAUUGCAUUUUGGGGAUUCUUUUUGCCUUUCUCUUAUGUAGGAUUCCCCUAUUUAGUUCCGCUGUCUUCUUCUUUUUAAUUUUUUUAAACAAAUUUUUGGGAUACAUGUGAAAUUUUGUUACAUGUAUGUAAUGCACAGUGAUCAAGUUGGGGUAUUUAGGAUGUCCAUCACCUGAGUACAACACAUUUUUUGUUAACUAUAGUCACCCUACUCUGCUAUCAAACAUUGCAUUUAUCUCUUCUAUCUAAUUGCAUGUUUGUACUCUUUAACCUAUUUCUUUUCAUUCUUUCUCCUUCCCCCAGUCACCUUUCCCAAUCUCCAUUAUCUCUUUCCACUCUACCUCUAGGUGAUCAAAUUUUUUAGCUUCCACAUGUAAGUAAGUACAUACAAUAUUUAUCUUUUUAUGCCUGGCUUACUUCACUUAAUAUAAUGAUCAUUCAUGUUGCUGCAAAUGACAUGAUUUCAUUCUUUUUUUAUGGCCAAAUGGUAUUCCACUGUGUAUAUUUACCACAUUUUCUCUACCUAUUCAUCCAUUGAUGGGUAUUUAAGUUUGUUUCAUGUAUUUGCUAUUGUGAAUAGUGCUGCAAUAAAAAUGCAAAUGCUUUGUAUCCCUUUGAUCUAUUGGUUUCUUUUGGAUAGAUACUUGGUAGUGGGGCUGCUGGAUUGAAUUCUGUUUUUAGUUUUUUGAGAAAUCUCCAUACUGUUUUUCAUAGUGGCUGCACCAGUUUACAUUCCCAGCAACAGAGUAUACAACUUCCUUUUUCUCCACAUCCUCACCAACAUCCAUUUUUUUUUUGUCUUUUUAAUAAUAGCCGUUCUGACUGGGGUGAGAUGAUGUCUCAUUGUGGUU
rnacentral:lncRNA from 1 species